CUUUAAUGAAACUUUGGACGACUGCGUCACUUGCACGCCUGGUUGGAACCACCCUUUCUCCUUCGCCCGCAAAGUUUCAGCUCCUAAAUCAUUGAAAAUAACAGCUUAGAAUCGCGUAGAAUCGCUUUACUUGCACAGGACCCCAGGUGGUCCACCUUAUCCACGGAUUUGAACUCUUCUAAGCAAGCAAACACUUUUUUGCACAAUGGAGCAACAAUUUGAUUACUCAGAAGGCCACAUCCUCCCAGAAUUGUCCUUUGGAA